AUUUAUUAUAUGACUAUAAAUUUUCUGUUUUCUCAUUGGCUAAAAGCAUAGGAAAUCCUCUUUGAUAAAACAUUAUAUUCACCGCGUCAAAAAUCACGAGAGGUUAAUAUAAGAUUUGGAACAGCGUCCGUGUACCUAAAUAUAGAAACGGGGAAUUCUUGUUAGCUAUUUAAGGGAUGUAUAAAUAAAAUGGUUUUUAAUUGGACGACCGAAUAAAUAUCAACCAAUCAGCGCUCUCGACAUAAAAUCGUUUCGAUCUAACAGACGACAGUUACAUGUUUCCGGCAACAAAGUAUGGCUGGAGCAGCAGAAGUAGCUACUGAAAAACGCUUUCCAUCGUUAAAUAAUGAGGAAAUUAAGAAGAUUUUGAUAGAAAAGGAUUCUAAAAAUACUCGCCGAUCAACAGAUUCUAGCGUACAUGUACAUGUAUCUAGUUUUUUAUUCUGUUGUAUUCAAUAUUGUUCAUGUUUUGUUCUUUAAAAAUUGAAAUGAUACAAUAUUCUUCUAGUUUUAAUUAUGCAGAAUUAAAUAUGCCUAAAAAUCAAACCCAAGCAUAAAAUAAAAACAGUCUAGGCAAAAUACCAUCUAACCAAGGAUAUAUUUCACAAUCUAAAAAUAUGAAAAUGACACUGAGAACUAAAGAGUCAUAUAAUAAAGCAAUUGUUGACUUUUGAUAUCAGUUGAUACAAUGAUUUAUCAACCCCAGAUGUGAUAUUCACCUCGGCCGUUGGCCUUGGUGAAUAUCACAUCUCUGGGGUUGAUAAAUCAUUGUAUCAACCUCAUCAAAAGUCAAUAAUUGUAUAAUAUUAUAUAU
rnacentral:lncRNA from 1 species